AUGCCCAUUGAUAGAGCUAAAUUUGGAUUUGUUGUCAUCUUUUUCAUCUUAUUCCAAAUAAAUUAGAGAACUCGAGAUUCUCAUUGAGCUCCAUUGGUUGAGGUAGAUGAUAGUCCAUCAAGCUUAACUAGGUGAGAUUGGAUAUAUGCACAAGCAUACUGUAGUGUCGACUUAGCCAGAAAGAUACGGAUCCGAAGAAAGAUAGAGAGU
rnacentral:lncRNA from 1 species